UACGGGAGGCAGCAGUGGGGAAUAUUGCACAAUGGGCGCAAGCCUGAUGCAGCCAUGCCGCGUGUAUGAAGAAGGCCUUCGGGUUGUAAAGUACUUUCAGCGGGGAGGAAGGCGGUGGAGUUAAUAGCUUCACCGAUUGACGUUACCCGCAGAAGAAGCACCGGCUAACUCCGUGCCAGCAGCCGCGGUAAUACGGAGGGUGCAAGCGUUAAUCGGAAUUACUGGGCGUAAAGCGCACGCAGGCGGUCUGUCAAGUCGGAUGUGAAAUCCCCGGGCUUAACCUGGGAACUGCAUUCGAAACUGGCAGGCUAGAGUCUUGUAGAGGGGGUAGAAUUCCAGGUGUAGCGGUGAAAUGCGUAGAGAUCUGGAGGAAUACCGGGUGGCGAAGGCGGCCCCUGGGACAAGACUGACGCUCAGGUGCGAAAGCGUGGGGAGCGAAACAGGGAUUAGAUACC
rnacentral:rRNA from 1 species